AGUGGGGAAUUUUGUGCAAUGGGGGAAACCCUGACACAGCGACACCGCGUGAGCGAAGAAGCCCUUUGGGGUGUAAAGCUCUGUCAGCUGGAACGAAACAAAUGACGGUACCAGCAGAGGAAGCAUCGGCUAACUACGUGCCAGCAGCCGCGGUAAGACGUAGGAUGCGAGCGUUGUCCGGAUUUAUUGGGCGUAAAGAGUUCGUAGGCGGUUCGUUAAGUUUGGUGUUAAAGAUCGGGGCUCAACCUCGGGAGUGCACUGAAUACUGGCGGACUGGAGUGUGGUAGAGGCUAGUGGAAUUCCCAGUGUAGCGGUGAAAUGCGUAGAUAUUGGGAAGAACACCGGUGGCGUAGGCGACUAGCUGGGCCAUAACUGACGCUGAGGAACGAAAGCCAGGGGAGCAAA
rnacentral:rRNA from 1 species